GCAUGGAUAUAAAUAUCUUUAAAAGAUUUAUCAUUGAGUACUGCUCUUUAGCACUCCAGUAAAUGGAUAAAGAGGAACUUAAAUGUGGAAGAAAGAGAGCCACUGAGAGAAAUGACUCACUCACAAUAGCAGAGCCCAUAUUAAAAUACAGGCAACUUUGUCUUAAAGAUAACUCUUGAGUACAACCAUAAAAAUCUUUCAAACAGAUAAGACAAAAUUACUUUUAACAAUUAUUUUUCAGAAAAACUAACAUAAAUUGAAUAAUUGGAUAAAUUGUCAUUGUUAUACGUGUGUGUAAAUGUAUAAAAUGGUACAUAAAAUAGAAAUAAUUUAAGCUAGAAAAAAGAUGUUAAUAAUUAUUAUGAAUAAAAUGGUGAGGUAGUCAAUUAUUAUUUGUAGAUGAUAUCUUUGUUUACUUAGAUAACAAAAAAACUACAAGACUACUUUAAAUGUCUAUUCAGGUGGGUAGGCAAAAUUUUAAGACGAUCACCUGGAUUUUCAGUCUGUUGCACACCUGCUGUGUAAUCUUCACCUCUGAAGUGUAAAAAACAAGUGUCUCACUGUGGUGGAAAAUUACUUAUGAAAUUAGGUUACUAAUGUGUUGACUCUGUGUUCAUCAAAAGGGAGAUUACCCUGAUUGGGCUAAACUUAAUGAGAGGUACUUUUAAGAGAAAAAGACACAUCAUAGAAAAAUACCCCUGCUGACCUGGAAGUAAGUGACUUCUAGGUCAACCAAUUUGUAAACUGCUUAUGGUGACCCCAUGGCAGGAAAUCUAUUUGUAUAUUGUCAGAAUUCCUGCCUUCCACAUGAUGCUUCCAGUAGGAAGAGAAAAAGGAUACCAUGACAAGUUAAAAAAAAAAAGGGAGGGGGCUCUCUUUUUUCAAGAAAUAAUCACCUCUCAUCUGGGAUAGCUUAAUAUAAACAGAGGAGACCACAACAUGAGCACAUCGAUGAGAGGAAAAAGGCAACCUGGUUGAAAGGGCUCACUGACAUGAUGGAGCAGCAUUUACUAAGUCACAGUGAAUGAUUAGCCUCUGGGAUAGCAAUAGUCCGCCAAGAAGUCUACACUCAUUCUUAUACUGAUUAAAUGAGCAUAUCCGUGCCAUUCUGGAGGCCCAGUUUUACACUACAUAUUACAGAAAUAACAUAGAGACCAGUGGGUAACCUCCUAGAAUUAAACUUCUUGUGAAAAAGCAUAUCUUAUUGUUUUCACAAUUGAAAAACCUUGAAAACAUAAUGAAUUUAUAUAAUAAAUGUAGUAAUACAGAUGUUUAUUGUUGCGGGAAGUCAGGGACGCCAAAUGGAGGGACCGGCUGAAGCCAUGACAGAAGAACGUGGAUUGUGAAGAUUUUAUGGA
rnacentral:lncRNA from 10 species